UUUUGUUGGUUGUCAUCUAACC
rnacentral:miRNA from 1 species